rnacentral:rRNA from 1 species
UACGAGGGGGGCUAGCGUUGUUCGGAAUUACUGGGCGUAAAGCGUGCGCAGGCGGCUUCUCAAGUCAGGGGUGAAAGCCCAGAGCUCAACUCUGGAAUUGCCUUUGAGACUGAGUGGCUUGAGUACGAGAGAGGUGAGUGGAAUUCCCAGUGUAGAGGUGAAAUUCGUAGAUAUUGGGAAGAACACCGGUGGCGAAGGCGGCUCACUGGCUCGUAACUGACGCUCAUGCACGACAGCGUGGGGAUCAAACAGG